GCCCGAAUAGCUCAGUUGGAAGAGCAUAGGACUGAAAAUCCUUGUGUCGGUGGUUCGAUUCCACCUUCGGGCA
rfam:Wigglesworthia glossinidia endosymbiont of Glossina brevipalpis DNA, complete genome.